GACGAACGCUGGCGGCGUGCUUAACACAUGCAAGUCGAACGGAAAGGCCCAGCUUGCUGGGUACUCGAGUGGCGAACGGGUGAGUAACACGUGGGUGAUCAGCCCCAAACUUCGGGAUAAGCCUGGGAAACUGGGUCUAAUACCGGAUAUGACCUGCUCCUGCAUGGGGGUUGGUGGAAAGCUUUUGCGGUUUGGGAUGGGCCCGCGGCCUAUCAGCUUGUUGGUGGGGUAAUGGCCUACCAAGGCGACGACGGGUAGCCGACCUGAGAGGGUGAUCGGCCACACUGGGACUGAGACACGGCCCAGACUCCUACGGGAGGCAGCAGUGGGGAAUAUUGCACAAUGGGCGCAAGCCUGAUGCAGCGACGCCGCGUGAGGGAUGACGGCCUUC
rnacentral:rRNA from 1 species